UUGAGCAAGCUAACAAGCCAAAGAAAACCAUAAUAGGCAAUCAUAAUGUAAGAUCUCCGAUUAGACAACUUGGACAAGCUCUUCUUCGCCUCGUACGCUAAGUAAGCGACGAAUAGAAUAGAUGCUAAAACCAAAACCGUGUUAUGAAGAAACCCAUGACACUUCCCGACCCAUCCGCCGAUAAACCCUCCGGUGGCCGUCGAAUCAGGGCUUAGCCGAGAAAUCACGAACGGUGACUCCGCAAUCUCGCUGAGCACUCGCAUUUCAUCAAAUUGUACGAAUCAGAAACCAAGUAGACUUAGCGCAAGGAGCGGAAAGCAAUCCCUAGUUCCAGAAAAGGAGCUCAAUUUCGAGAUUUGAUGUUUUUGCGAUACAGAAUUCGUAUGAAUCGUAUAUUUCUUCUUCUCUCUGGCGACCAAAUCCAUACACUUGACG